UAAAUGAAGGCCAAAGCAGAGGUGCCUAGCUGUUAAUUAGGAGACUGUAAUAUAAUUUACUCAUUUAG
rnacentral:tRNA from 1 species